ensembl:lncRNA
CCUGGAUUCUGCAGGCUUUCUGCCUCCCUUUGAACUCCCAAGACCUGGUCACCCGUCACACACUUCACAGCAGAGCUCAGCAUAGCCGGCUUUCCCUGUGCACGUACCACCGCUGCCCUCUGCCCACACGGCGGCCCACGGGUACCAUGGAAGUACAGCCAGCGAAGCCCACAAGCACUGCUCCCGCAGUGUGCCCUUCCUGAUGCCCGGGGCUGACAAUGUUCAGCUCUCUUUCGUUUGUUACCUAGGGACCUCGCCCACGGGCGCUAAGGCUGGGGCUCUGGUAGUCACCAGCCAGGGACUUCAGGCAGCAGAGCAUGGCUGUGAAGAGCCGAAGACGCCCUAUGGCAUGGUGCUGGUGCAGAACCUUCCGAAGAGGCUGAGCACCAGGAAAGUCCUAGAACCACCCAGCCUGGGGCCGCUGCGCCCCAGCAGGAUCCCCGUCCGCAAGAAGGCAGCAGCAUGCAGCCCGAGUUUGCUGAGACUUGGCAGCGAGAGCACCUCAGCCCUCAAGGUCUGGAAAUACACCCACGCCGGAUCCCUGGCCCAAAGGUCUCUGCCAGCAUUCCCAGAGGACACUGCAUCACUCAGCAUGGGGAUGCAGACAACAGAGCCGAUCUUCAUCUGCGACGGCCCCGAGGGGCUGCUCNGGAUGUUGGGGGGGGGGCUGGGGAACCCACCCCAAGCAGGGCCCAUGUCUCCCGUGAUGCCCCCCUGCUCCCGGGGCAGGCAGCCCUGGCACCAGAGCUGCAGCUUGGCCCUGUCCUCACCGCUUGGGGGGAGCACUGGUGAGUGGCCGUGCUCUGCGGUGCACUGGCUUCUCAGGCUGGCACUGCUCUGGGCGAGCAUGUGGCCUGCCACAGAGCCCCCCUCCCAGCUCCCUGAGCCUCCUCUUCUAUGUUGCAGCAUCUGCCAAGCCGGGCCCCAGACUCGCCCCCGCUCAGCUCCUACCACAAGAUCCUGUCCUUCUGCACAGAAGCCUGAGUACAGCCACCAGCUCCAGCUGUCACCAGUCUGCACUCGCCUGCGUCUCUAGCUGGGUGCCACACCUGCCCCCCACGCUGCCCUGCUGCAGGGGUAGUCGGGCUGAGCGGAGCAGCAUGCCCACCCUGCCCACGGCUUCCUCCAGCCUCCCCUUGCAAACCAAAGUGUGUUAUGGAGGGAGAGGCUCCUGAUCGCCCUGCAGGGUCCCCUUGCUCAGUUCCCACAGAGCCAUUGCUGGAGCAGCCAGGGCUCUGCAGAACACACAGCCUGAGCAGAGGGGGACACUGCUGGGCUCCCCAGCUAGUCCCAGAGCUCUGUGCGAAUCCCCGCUAACCUCCAGCCAUGGCCAUGUGGAGGGCACUUGGUGCAGCCAGCUGGCUGAUUUGGGUCACAAGCUUGGGGGUGCCAACAGCACCCACGGUGCCAGGGGCUGGAGAUGGGGGUGAUGCCCGGGGAGCAGCUGCAGACACCAUCACUCUAUGUCUCCCUGGGCAGUGGAGAGGGUUGGGCAGGGCUAGGCACUGGGUCAGGCUGCUGCACUCGCCCCUAUGUGGGGUGCAGGAGAAUCAACCCGGGGCAAAGAGCUUUCUAGCAGGGGGCCAGCUGGUGCCAGGGAGGCCCAGGAGGCCCAGCCCUUCUCCCCUUCCACUAAGCCAGAGCUCCCAUGGUGUGUCUCAGAACCCAGCCCGUGGGCAGCCCCCUGCUGCCACAGUGAGCCUGGGGGGCCGUGUCUCCCCACAGUAGCUUGGCCCCUGCCCCACACCCAGCAGGGCUGUGGAGACAACUUGAGGGAGCGUCCGUGGGCAUCUCCUUGGGCAGAGUACAGUGCCAGCAACACCUCAGUGGGCUUCAGGGUCCCAGGCCAGGUAUCUCCAGCUGGGGCUCUCCCUGCAGACACAGCUUGUAACCUGGGCAGGCUCUUGCAAAGGCUGCUUCAUGAGCACAACCAAGUCAGGCCGUGGAGCUGCAGGUCAGCUCCCAUCCCCGUGUGCCUGGGCCCCAGGCUAGCAGCUUUGGCCAGCCCCUCCGGGUGGGCAGGGUCAGGCCUGGAGCAGCCCUGCAGCCAGCCCCCAAGGCAGAGCCAUUCUCCUGCUGCUGCAGUCGGGCGCUGCCUCCCACUCAGCCCAGCCGCUCCAGAGUUGUUCAGGGGUUUGAAGCUAUUUUUAUGAGAUAGGGUUUGUCUUGUACCUUGUUUCUAUUAAAGUCUGUUUGGAAGAAAUGUUCCCUGAGCUCUAAUCUGGGGCAGGCCUCUCAGCUGUGCCAGGAUCCCGCCGCGCCCAGAGCAGCAGCGAGAGGGCUGCUGGUCCAGGAAGGCAGGAGUAGAGCCCACUGUGGUCACCGGCAGGAGCUGGCAGACUGCUCAGGGGGAGGCCUAAAGACAAGGCUGGACUGAUGGAGGAAGGGCAAGCGAGCCAAGGGGCAGCUUUGCCCCCUUGGAGGAGAAGGGGUUAAUGCAGUCUGCAUGCUGUGCCCAUAAUAAAACCGUCAGCACCACCUGGCUGGCA